AAACUGAAGAGUUUGAUCAUGGCUCAGAUUGAACGUUGGCGGCAGGCUUAACACAUGCAAGUCGAGCGGUAACAGUGGGAGCUUGCUCCCAGCUGACGAGCGGCGGACGGGUGAGUAACGCGUAGGAAUCUACCUAGUAGUGGGGGACAACCCGAGGAAACUCGGGCUAAUACCGCAUACGCUCUUAGGAGGAAAGCGGGGGAUCUUCGGACCUCGCGCUAUUAGAGGAGCCUGCGUCGGAUUAGCUAGUUGGUGAGGUAAAGGCUCACCAAGGCGACGAUCCGUAGCUGGUCUGAGAGGACGACCAGCCACACUGGAACUGAGACACGGUCCAGACUCCUACGGGAGGCAGCAGUAGGGAAUCUUGUGCAAUGGGGGAAACCCUGACACAGCCAUGCCGCGUGUGUGAAGAAGGCCUUAGGGUUGUAAAGCACUUUCAGUGGGGAGGAAAGGUUGAUGGUUAAUACCCAUCCGCUGUGACGUUACCCACAGAAGAAGCACCGGCUAACUCCGUGCCAGCAGCCGCGGUAAUACGGAGGGUGCAAGCGUUAAUCGGAAUUACUGGGCGUAAAGCGCGCGUAGGCGGCUUGUUAAGUUGGAUGUGAAAGCCCUGGGCUCAACCUGGGAACU
rnacentral:rRNA from 1 species